AAAACCAACCCUAGAUCUAAAAACACAAUUGCCGCCUCUCACUCUCAGUCAAUCUCUCCCUCCCACGCUCUCACUCUCAUGAAUCUCAAUCCCUUUCACCCUCUCAAGCUCACACACACUCUCAUCCUCCUGCGAUUCCGGCAAAGCAAGUUUGGGUAUGGAAGUUUUGGGUAUAGAAGUUUGGGUAAAGUAAGUUUGGGUAAGCGAUUUCGGCAAAUUAGCUUUCGGUAUACAAGUUUUCUGAAACCCAUCUCUCAACAAGAAUACAGUGUGACCAAAUUUGCUUCACUUGCCCAGUUUUAAGGAACCAUCUCCAAGCACCUCUUGAGUAUACAAGUUCGGGUUAUUGCUCGGUCGGUCUCACUCUGCAAUUUUCAGCUUAUCUUUUUCUCUCUCUUGCCUUGCUGCGAAAAGGUUUCCGGAGUAGCUUGAAGCUCUGGAGUGAUCCCUAUAGGAAAAUUCUUUUGGUGGUAUCUAAAUCCACAAGACUACAAGGCUCAUCCAGUUUCUUGCAUUAUUGAAUGGAAUUGAUUUGAUUUACAGCAUUAGUAGUAUUCCUUCUUCAAGAAUUUGUCUUUGAGAACAACAAGCUUCUACAGUCCAUUUAGACUGAUAAACAAGAACCCAUCUCUAACACAAGACACAGUUCCACAAGUGAUAGAGUAGACAAAAGAUAUGAGUAUCCUAAUCACUUGUAGUCCAUAAAUUGCUGAUCCAAGAAGUUAUGGAUAGGUGCUAACUUCUUUUGAAAUUCUGCAGAAACUACCUUGCAGCAUAGCUCUCUUCUUUCGAUAUUGCACUGUUAUUGUUGUUGCUGUAGUGAAAGGUUAGAGUACUGGGAGUGGUGAUUAGCUAGGCUCAUCACUCCCUAGGCUGUGACUUAAGCAAAUUAAGUGGGGAACAAGGUCAAAUUUGGUUUACACAAACAAGGAUAUUGAUGAGAUCCGAGCGGAAUGGGCUAAACAUGUUUUGAAGUUCCCAGAAAAUUAAGUAUCAGCCUGUAUAUCUGCUUUGGUUUCUGGUAGCUAGGUUAUGAGCAGUAGUAGUGUCUAGGAACUGCUUUUGUGCAUUUUGACAAAACUGAUGGAAAGUGUUGAACAAUAUAAUGCAUGCAGUUGCUGUAAGUCUGUAACUACUAUAUGGAUGCUACUAGGUUUUUGUCUUAGAUAGAUUAGGAUCCAUGCAACAAUGACAGUAAUAAAAAUCGGUUAAUGUAAAGGCUAGCAUGCUAGCUAGUUUAAUUAGUAUUAUGCUACUGAUGGGAAUGUAUUUUGGUGGGUUAAUUGAUGUA